UACAGAGGGGGCCAGCGUUAUUCGGAAUUAUUGGGCGUAAAGGGCGCGUAGGCGGCGGGGUAAGUCGGAUGUGAAAUCCCAGGGCUCAACCCUGGAACUGCAUUCGAUACUGCCUGGCUAGGGUACUGGAGAGGAGACUGGAAUUUACGGUGUAGCAGUGAAAUGCGUAGAUAUCGUAAGGAAGACCAGUGGCGAAGGCGAGUCUCUGGACAGUUACCGACGCUGAGGCACGAAGGUCAGGGGAGCAAACGGG
rnacentral:rRNA from 1 species